UCUCACACAAAUCCAUUCAGAUGUGAACCUUCUCGUUCCAGACCCAAUUCUGCUGACAAACAGUCAUGAUGGACUGGAUGGGCCCAGUAUGAAAAAGCGAAAGUUGGAAGACUGUGAAGAGUCCUUCCAAGGUACCAAAGUCUUUGUCAUGCCUAAUGGGAUGAUGAAGAGCAACCAGCAGCUGGUGAACAUCAUUGAGAAAGUAAAACCAGAGAUUCGGCUGCUGAUUGAGAAAUGCAAUACAGU